rnacentral:snRNA from 1 species
ACCUAGGGCGCGAGCCCG